GGACAUCCUCUGCCUGCGGAUGGCCUCGCGGUCCACGGAUCUGGUCCCGGUCGUCGGUCUGGUACAAGUCUGGAACUGAGGCAGGACCGCAUGGCUGAUCCUUAAGUACCCCCGGGGCGUGGCUAAGGUCACACUUCUUCAAACUGAGAUGGAGAGUGAAUUGCAAAUCAAUCCAGCUGGGUCAAGUUGCAUCUGAUCAUACAGGGCUGUC